rnacentral:lncRNA from 1 species
GAGGGUUCAAUGCUAUCACGAAGGGAAUUGCUGAGUUUAGUUGCCUGAUUAGGAAUCUGAAGCAUAGAAAUUGCACUGUUAAGUGGUGAACUAUUUUACUCGUGUUUGGGAUUUUCAUCUAAUUCUCUAGGUGAUACAAUUUGAUGAUUUUUAUUUACUUGUCUGGGGACAAUUCGACACGUUAAAUGAACUUGUAAAACAUACUUGAAUUUUGAUGUUCAUAGAUAUUUGUUGGUUAUUAUAGUGAAAGGCAUGUUCCUUACAAGUCAUCCAUUAUCUGUCAUGAAUUUUGUUAGCUUAACUGCGUUAAAUUUUGAUUUGGGUACAUACUGGCUCAAAGAUCGUCUUCUUGUGAAAAUGAAUAUUGUUGGGGUAAAUGAAUUACAAUUGUUGCUUUUGCCUAUAUCUUACCUUGGUGGAAUUCAACUUAAAUUCUAGACAGGACCAAAUGGACGAUAAUUCGUAAUUUAUUUCUCAUUCUUAUGAGGAUAUAUUCUGUAUUUGAAUAGUUAAUUGCAAUUACUUGCUGAUUAAUGCGAGGGUCAUGUGGAGUGGAGCAAGACAAAAUAGCAAAAGAGAAAAAUAAAUUAGUGAAACAAGAAGAUAAGGUAUAUUCCCUCGAGCCGAUGAUAGGGAGAAUAGCUCGGCGAAGAAAAUGGCGACUUGCUUGUCAAUGGUGAAGUUGGGUUAUAUCUCUCUCUCAACUCCGUCUGGUUUUGAGUUAAUUGGGAAAUGAUUAUGCAAACUGAAG